ensembl:lncRNA
GGGUACCUCCAUCUCUGGUGUAUAAGCACCAGAGGACAAGAAGGAUUGCUUCCACUUCUCGUUGGGAGGGAGAGGCUGCACCGGCACUCUGGGCUCAGGGCUGGGGCUCUGCCCUGGGGUCUGGGCUUUGUCCGUCGGGAGCAGUGCAGAGCAGAAACCCUCACACUUUCCCCAGCACACAUGUCCUGAGCUCUCCGCCAGAACAUCCCCCAGGCUGAAGGUCGGCCUCCAGCCAGCACAAGGCACAGCUGGAGCCAGCCCAGCAGAGAAACACUCCUGCAGGCUCCUACCACACAGGGCCAGGCUCAUCGCCCUCGCGUUCCUUUAUAGCAUGUGCUCUGUACUAGCCUGCUCACGUUUGGCUGCCGGCCUGCUGCGCAAGAGCAAGGCAGGAAGGGCCUGGUGGCACACAGUGAUUCUGGUUGGUGACACCAGAUGACUAUGGGACUGAAAUUACCUGGCAAUCCAGCUGCUUGUUCUGCCUGUGUUUUUCUGUCAGAGACUGGCCGUGUCAGAGACUGGCUGCUUUCCUGCAAUGGCUCCUUCUGCACAGUCUCUUGGUCAGUCCCUUUAGUCCCACCAUACGC